GAUGAACGCUGGCGGCGUGCCUAAUGCAUGCAAGUCGAGCGAACGGACGAGAAGCUUGCUUCUCUGAUGUUAGCGGCGGACGGGUGAGUAACACGUGGAUAACCUACCUAUAAGACUGGGAUAACUUCGGGAAACCGGAGCUAAUACCGGAUAAUAUUUUGAACCGCAUGGUUCAAAAGUGAAAGACGGUCUUGCUGUCACUUAUAGAUGGAUCCGCGCUGCAUUAGCUAGUUGGUAAGGUAACGGCUUACCAAGGCAACGAUGCAUGGCCGACCUGAGAGGGUGAUCGGCCACACUGGAACUGAGACACGGUCCAGACUCCUACGGGAGGCAGCAGUAGGGAAUCUUCCGCAAUGGGCGAAAGCCUGACGGAGCAACGCCGCGUGAGUGAUGAAGGUCUUCGGAUCGUAAAACUCUGUUAUUAGGGAAGAACAUAUGUGUAAGUAACUGUGCACAUCUUGACGGUACCUAAUCAGAAAGCCACGGCUAACUACGUG
rnacentral:rRNA from 1 species